AGGAAGGAAUUGGGCCAAAUCCACUCGGGCUAGGGCGGGCCGUAAUGGCUCCCCCGAGGGACAAAUCCUGCCUGGAACCCGUGAGGGUGAAGGGAUGUUAAGAGCUGCUCACGACGCCAGUGGAAAGCCCGAGGUGGCAAGAGGCCAGGCGAGGGAUAGCCCUGGGCCGUGAGCGGUAACAGUGCCGUGCGAGAAGGGCCGGGCUGUUACA
rnacentral:lncRNA from 1 species